CCCAGUUCUAUCUGUCUGUUAAAUCAGUUUCUGGACCACAGGUUCUAGAACAGCUUCUAUCCCAGUUCUAUCUGUCUGUUAAAUCAGUUUCUGGACCACAGGUUCUAGAACAGCUUCUAUCCCAGUUCUAUCUGUCUGUUAAAUCAGUUUCUGGACCACAGGUUCUAGAACAGCUUCUAUCCCAGUUCUAUCUGUCUGUUAAAUCAGUUUCUGGACCACAGGUUCUAGAACAGCUUCUAUCCCAGUUCUAUCUGUCUGUUAAAUCAGUUUCUGGACCACAGGUUCUAGAACAGCUUCUAUCCCAGUUCUAUCUGUCUGUUAAAUCAGUUUCUGGACCACAGGUUCUAGAACAGCUUCUAUCCCAGUUCUAUUCAAUUCAAUUUCAAUUCCAUUCAAGGGCUUUAUUGGCAUGGGAAACAUGUGUUAACAUUGCCAAAGCAAGUGAGGUAGACAACAUACAAAGUGAAUAUAUAAAGUGAAAAACAACAAAAAUUAACAGUAAACAUUACACAUACAGAAGUUUAAAAACAGUAAAGACAUUACAAAUGUCAUAUUAUAUAUAUAUAUAUAUAUAUAUAUACAAUGUACAAAUAGUUAAAGGACACAAGAUAAAAUGAAUAAGCAUAAAUAUGGGUUGUAUUUACAAUGGUGUUUGUUCUUCACUGGUUGCCCUUUUCUCGUGGCAACAGGUCACAAAUCUUGCUGCUGUGAUGGCACACUGUGGAAUUUUACCCAAAAGAUAUGAGAGUUUUUCAAAAUUGGAUUUGUUUUCGAAUUCUUUGUGGAUCUGUGUAAUCUGGGGAAAUAUGUCUCUCUAAUAUGGUCAUACAUUGGGCAGGAGGUUAGGAAGUGCAGCUCAGUUUCCACCUCAUUUUGUGGGCAGUGAGCACAUAGCCUGUCUUCUCUUGAGAGCCAUGUCUGCCUACGGCGGCCUUUCUCAAUAGCAAGGCUAUGCUCACUGAGUCUGUACAUAGUCAAAGCUUUCCUUAAUUUUGGGUCAGUCACAGUGGUCAGGUAUUCUGCCGCUGUGUACUCUCUGUGUACAGCCAAAUAGCAUUCUAGUUUGCUCUGUUUUUUUUGUUAAUUCUUUCCAAUGUGUUAAGUAAUUAUCUUUUUGUUUUCUCAUGAUUUGGUUGGGUCUAAUUGCGCUGUUGUCCUGGGGCUCUGUAGGGUGUGUUUGUGUUUGUGAACAGAGCCCCAGGACCAGCUUGCUUAGGGGACUCUUCUCCAGGUUCAUCUCUCUGUAGGUGAUGGCUUUGUUAUGGAAGGUUUGUGAAUUGCUUCCUUUUAGGUGGUUGUAGAAUUUAACGGCUCUUUUCUGGAUUUUGAUAAUUAGUGGGUAUCGGCCUAAUUCUGCUCUGCAUGCAUUAUUUGGUGUUCUACGUUGUACACGGAGGAUAUUUUUGCAGAAUUCUGCGUGCAGAGUCUCAAUUUGGUGUUUGUCCCAUUUUGUGAAGUCUUGGUUGGUGAGCGGACCCCAGACCUCACAACCAUAAAGGGCAAUGGGCUCUAUGACUGAUUCAAGUAUUUUUAGCCAAAUCCUAAUUGGUAUGUUGAAAUUUAUGUUUCUUUUGAUGGCAUAGAAUGCCCUUCUUGCCUUGUCUCUCAGAUCGUUCACAGCUUUGUGGAAGUUACCUGUGGCGCUGUUCUAUCUGUCUGUUAAAUCAGUUUCUGGACCACAGGUUCUAGAACAGCUUCUAUCCCAGUUCUAUCUGCCUGUUAAAUCAUCAACCUAAACUGUUUCCAUCAGACUAUUAGAACUUGACUGAACCUUUGGUUCCUUUUCUGAUCUUUUACCACUUUGCAUUUUUUAUGAUAUAUUUUACUGUUUGUUUUGUACCACAGGAGGUUGGUGGGACCUUAAUUGGGGAGGACAGGCUUGUAAUGGCUGGAGGGGAAUAAGUAGAAUGGUAUCAAACACGUGGUUUCCAUGUGUUCCAUCCAUUCACUCUGUUCCAGACAUUAUUAUGAGCCGUCCUCCCCUCACCAGCCUCCUCUGGUAUGUACUGUCCUAUAUGUGAGAGAGAUCCAACAAGGAAUUACAAUGUAUGUAUUACUUUUAAUACCUGCAAAUGGCAAAUAAACUACUAGAAGUCCUUAUGAAUGUCUGCAGCCGACU